AAAAAAAUGAAACUUAUCUGUUUUUUUAUAUCAUAUAUCUUGGUAAACGUUUCGGCAGAUUUUGAAGCGGAAUACAAGAAACUUGUUUUAGUUACAAAUUUAUCCAUCAUGGAAGCUGGAACGAAUAGAUUGGAGGGAAUAAUUGAAGAAAUGGUUAAUGAGGCCAAUCAUUGCAACAUUUUCGG